AUACGUAGGGAGCGAGCGUUGUCCGGAUUUACUGGGUGUAAAGGGUGCGUAGGCGGGACUGCAAGUCAGACGUGAAAUACCGAGGCUUAACCUCGGGGCUGCGUUUGAAACUGGGCGCCUUGGAUGCGGUCGAGGCCGGCGGAAUGCGUGGUGUAGCGGUGAAAUGCUUAGAUAUCACGCAGAACGCCAAUUGCGAAGGCAGCUGGCCGGGCCGCAAUCGACGCUGAGGCACGAAAGCGUGGGGAUC
rnacentral:rRNA from 1 species